AAGAUGUCGGGGGUCCAGUCUGGUACGAUGGAGAGUGAGCCCGUGGCUUGUGCUCAGAUCGUCAACGGUGCUGGCGGCGGCGUUGAAAUGAGAAACGAACACGAGGUUGUGGCUGCAAGCAGUUAGUGAUCGUUGUGUCUAAAGCGUGCAAUUUUGUAGUGAAGAUCAGCUGGAAAGCGAUGGAUUACUGCAUCUCUUGUAUCUGAAGGGCAGUGGAAGAGUCAUGCGAGGUCAUAAUCACCCUCCAACACCUAUUCCUCCUCCGCUAACGUCGAGUGAAGAUGAGGAUGACGUCCGAGCCUUUUCCCCUUUGCUUCCUCCACCCGUGAAACGGCCAUGCUACGCUUCCAUCCGACGAGGACCGCGUGUCACCAGCGCAGCACUACUGCCCUCAAGUUGCGACCAAAUACCAUGGACUACCACGAAUCGGCACACCCGUCGCACAAAAGGACCCUUUUGCAACGGACCUGCGCCAGACGAAGGAGUUCGA